rnacentral:rRNA from 1 species
AUUUAGAGGAAGGAGAAGUCGUAACAAGGUUUCCGUAGGUGAACCUGCGGAAGGAUCAUUGUCGAAGCCUACAAAACGAAACGACCCUGUGAACUUGUAACAAUAGCGGAGGGUCAUAGGGAUCGGGCUUGUGUUCAUGACCUAUGGCCUUUUGUCAAUUUGUCCUUAUGGUCGUCUUUUACAAGCGUCCAUGAUGUCAGGUUGACGCAACAACAAACCCCGGCACGGCACGUGCCAAGGAUAACUAAAGUUUAGGAAGGCCUGAUGCCAUGUUGCCCCGUUUGCGGUGUGCGCAUGGGAUUUGGCUUCUUAUAUAACAAGAAACGACUCUCGGCAACGGAUAUCUCGGCUCAYGCAUCGAUGAAGAACGUAGCAAAAUGCGAUACUUGGUGUGAAUUGCAGAAUCCCGUGAACCAUCGAGUUUUUGAACGCAAGUUGCGCCCGAAGCCAUUCGGUCGAGGGCACAUCUGCCUGGGCGUCACGUCUCGCGUCGCUCCUAAACCAURUCUCCUCAAAAAGGAUGUGCGAGAUAGGGGCGGAUACUGGUCUCCCGUGCCUAUGGUGUGGUUGGCCGAAAUUACGAGUCUCCUUUUCAUGGACACACGGCAAGUGGUGGUUGAGCUGACCUUAGUUUCGUGUUUGUGUGUUCGUAGAUGUAUUGGAAGACCUAGCAAAAGUACCCUAGUGCGUCGUCUUGCGGCGGUGCUUCGACCGCGACCCCAGGUCAGGUGGGACUACCCGCUGAGUUUA